AAAUAUAUUUUUAGUAUCUACACUGUUUAGGACUUACAGGUGUAUAAAAUUAAUGGAUUCUACUUCUAAGGAUAAUGUCAAUGGCCAAUCAGUUUGUUUCUUUAUAAUCUGUUUUAUUAAAGCAUUCUUAUUUGCUGUCAUCAUCUGCAUGACAUAGAUAACCAUCCAGUAACUGGACUGUUAACAUUAGGGUUUGGGAAAUUAAAGUGUUGUAGUUUUUCUCUUUAGCUAUAAUGUUUUUUGUGUAAGGUUGCUGUUAGUGCAUAAACAAUACCUGCAGAAUUAUAAAGCUUAAAGUUCAAUGCCAAGCGAUAUGUUUCCUUUAACAGGAUUCCCCUUUCAAAACAGGAAAAAUGGGACCUUUAAACAGAGAGCUUGCACCAUUUCAAACUGGUAACCAGACUGUGCCACUAGCCUUGGGACAAGUUGGAAUUUUGUAUAUAUGUAUAUUAUAUAUAAAUGUUGCUUUGUGUUGUUUUUAUCCUCUAAAGCUGAUCACAUUCGGAACACUGAUCCUCCCAAUGCUCCUGACACUCAUUGUGAGGUGGCCUUUGCUCCAGAGACUGUUGAGUGCAUUCACUGAACGAUUUCUCAGGUGACGAGGCAUCACCUCCUGGAACCCCAAGAGAUCCUCUUCUGGCUUCCUCAAACUGGAGAACACGUCAAAGUCUCUUCAGAGAGGUGGAGGGCAGAGAGAGCCCAUCUGGUGAACACGGCUGUUGCACAAGAAAAUGUGGUAUCACACAUCUGCCUAAUGCGGCUUGUACCCGUGGAAAUGCCUGACAAAAUCUGUGGUUGUUCACCAGAGUGAAGAACUUUGUUUUGUUCUGUUAUAGUGGAAUCUUAAAAAUCUUUACAUACUUGAUUUCCAAUAAUUUAGCAUUGAUACAACAUUUAAGUAUGAAAAGUAGAAAGAAAUGUAUAAAUUGUACAAAGAAAUCAAACACUAAUUAAUCUAAUUAAGGUUUAUAUUACAGGGAAUGUGCAGUGGGAGACUUAAACAGAAGUGGGUACUGGCCUGCAACCCUUCAAUUCACCACAAUUUAUGCCAUAGAUAUCUUGUUUUCAUUUCAAGAGAUGAAGAUGGCGGCACCAGGACUGUCCUGUCAAGCAUUUUUUAAGAAUGCUGGAUCAGCGAACUGUCUGCUUUGGUCGUACUGGCAAGAUCUCAGCAGACAGUUUUCAGAAAAGUUUUUUUGAGUGGGAGGCUGUGCGAUUCAAGGUGGACAAUAUUAGCAAGGAAGAGCCUUUCAUCUGCCCUGCAUGCACCCCAGAGAUGCUUGCAGUUCAGUAGAUCAUUUCAAGAAUACUGC